UACGGGGGGAGCAAGCGUUGUUCGGAUUUACUGGGCGUAAAGGGCGCGGUAGGCGGUCGUGACAAGUCACUUGUGAAAUCUCCGGGCUUAACUCGGAACGGUCAAGUGAUACUGUCGGACUAGAGUACAGAAGGGGCAACUGGAAUUCUCGGUGUAGCGGUGAAAUUCGUAGAUAUUCGCAAGAACACCAGUGGCGAAGGCGGCUCACUGGCCCGGUACUGACGCUGAGGUGCGAAAGCGUGGGGAGCAAACAGG
rnacentral:rRNA from 1 species